rnacentral:lncRNA from 1 species
CUCAGGCCUGCCCGGACGGUGUUCGGGAUCAAGAGGACCACACUCCAGCCCAGGACAAAAGCCCCACGGUAGCACAUUGUCCGGCAGGAGAGGAGCAGACCCACGUCCAAGAAGAUGGUUGUACCUUUCCACGCCUCUUCUCUGCGAAAUGAAGCCACACCAUGACACAAUCUUGAAGAGGAAGCCGGGAAUGGGAGACGGCAACAAUCCCUGUCCCUGGAACGCUGGCCUCUAUGGACAAGCCACCCGCUUCGCACCCCUCCCCUUAUGCCCGUGGCGGUGGCACGGCGCCGUAUCCUGCCUGGGCUCUGGCCUCUGCUCUGUCCUCCCUCUUCCACUGUCUCCCCUGUUUCUCAGCGGCCUAGAUGCCUCUUGGUCUGGCUGAAUAUCUUCUAUGAAGAUCACUUCCCCGUCCAUCAGGGAGACAAUUCCUGGAGAUUCGUGUCAUGACUGUUUCUCUCUCCAAACCUGUUUCUGCUGGAUUGCGCAGGUCUGAUGACCCUGGAGCUCUUGGCUUCCAUACGUGUCUCAGACAGAAUCAUCUCCCCUGCCCCACAAACAUGAAAGAAAAGACAAGAGAAGCACCCCAGAAGAGGAGGGGAGAAGUGCCCCAGAAAAAAUCAUCCAGUCUCUGAAGCUUUGCCCAGGGCACCACUCGCCCCUGAUCCAUCUUGGUUUCCCGCACAAGGCAGCAGGAUUGCCCAUGAAUGAACAUGGGUGAAAUCGUUGGAUACAGGCUGGAGUGCAGCGGCAGGAUCAUGGCUCACUACAGCCUCUGCCUCCUGGGCUUAAGCAGUCCUCCUUCAGCCUCCUGUGUAACUGGGACCACAGACACGCACCACCAGGCCCGGGAGCCAGCUGAGGAGGUGUGUCAUGCAACUUGCCCCCCCAGCCCUCCCCUUCUAAGGAACCCCCACACCUGCUCUGUCUUCCUGCUACAGUCUCUGAGAAAAGCCCUUUCAUCUGUCAAGAACUACAAAAGUCAUUCUUUAAGCAGUGCUAAAUAAACAAUGAAACAGACACAAAGUUAAAGUUACCUGAUCCAAAAAGGAGUGAAGCCUAGACCCCAGCCCACUGACUCAGUCUCUAAGACCCCUCACUCAAAUCUUCAAUCAACAGUGGAGAUGGCUGUGAGCUCUUCUGAUUCCAGAUGACAAUACUCCUCCCUUUAAUUCCUUGAUAUGUUUAAUUAUGUAAGUAAAUUUAAUAUAAAAAUCAUUGCAUUAGAGUUCAUUGUUUUUAUACAAGAUUCAGUGUGAGAUCAAUGUUAUACUUCCAAUUUGUCACACUUACAGAGAACUGAGAAGAAUCACAUUAUUUAAAAUCUUAGCAAAUGUGCAUAAUUCCUUUGGAUAAUUUUAAAGUGAUA